rnacentral:rRNA from 1 species
UACUCGAGUGGCGAACGGGUGGGUAACACGUGGGUGAUCUGCCCUGCACUCUGGGAUAAGCCUGGGAAACUGGGUCUAAUACCGGAUAGGACCAUGCUUUAGUGUGUGUGGUGGAAAGUUUUUCGGUGUAGGAUGAGCCCGCGGCCUAUCAGCUUGUUGGUGGGGUAAUGGCCUACCAAGGCGGCGACGGGUAGCCGGACUGAGAGGUUGGUCGGCCACAUUGGGACUGAGAUACGGCCCAG